rnacentral:rRNA from 1 species
UACGUAGGGUGCAAGCGUUGUCCGGAAUUAUUGGGCGUAAAGAGCUUGUAGGCGGUUUGUCGCGUCUGCUGUGAAAUUUCGGGGCUCAACCCCGAACUUGCAGUGGGUACGGGCAGACUAGAGUGUGGUAGGGGAGACUGGAAUUCCUGGUGUAGCGGUGAAAUGCGCAGAUAUCAGGAGGAACACCGAUGGCGAAAGGGAGGACGUCUGGUCGAUUAACUGACGCUGAGGAGCGAAAGCAUGGGGAGCGAACAGG